CAGCUCAGGGGCCCCUCGUGUCUAGAGAGACUAAAACCACAGGUCUCAGCCCCUGAGCCCCUAAUGUCAGGUGCAAGUCAGCCAAGGAAUGAGGUUUUGAGAAAGGCAGGAGAGAAACUCUGGGGCAAUGCCAGGUGCUGACGGGGCUGUGCUCAUCCUUCCUCUUCCCAAACCAGUCCCAGCUGGAUUCUGCAGCCUCUUGAGGUAUUCUGACACAAGGACCCAGUGCUGAAUGAUUUAGUGCCUCUCAGCUGCAGCCAGAUAAUGCUACUCCCAGGUACUUAAACUUCCCUAAUCAGCCUCUUGAGUUGUUUUGUUUCCUGAGUGGCUUUGAGUCCAUAGAACACUGUGGAAGAGAGAAACCUUCUGCUGCUCCUCUCCACCAUCAGCAGCUUUCUGCUUCCAGCAAUGACAUGGCACUGCCACACAAUGUGUCAGACAACGGCGAUUUGUGACUGUAAGUCACACUGGGAACUACUGGCCUGCUCUGCCUUGGAUAUCUUAAGAACUUAAGAAAAUGUAAUGUACUUGAUUAUCAAGUGACAUUAGAAAAUUUAAUUAAACCGCCCAUAAAUAAAUUGUACAAACAAA